rnacentral:rRNA from 1 species
GACGAACGCUGGCGGCGUGCUUAACACAUGCAAGUCGAACGGAAAGGCCCUGCUUUUGUGGUGUGCUCGAGUGGCGAACGGGUGAGUAACACGUGAGUAACCUUCCCUUGCCUUUGUGAUAACUUCCGGACACUGGUGCUUAUACCGUAUAUGAGCUCCUGCUGCAUUGUGGGGUGUGAAAAUUUUCGGCGGUUGGGGAUGGACUCGCGGCUUCUCAGUUUGUGUGUGGGGGAGUGGCUUACCACGGCUUUGACGGAGAGCCGGCCUGAGAGGGUGACCGGCCACAUUGGGACUGAGAAACGGCCCGGACUCCAACGGGAGGCAGAGGUGGGAAAUAUUGCAAAAGGGGCGGAAGCCUGAUGGAGCAACGCCGCGUGGGGGAUAACGGCCUUGGGGUUGUAACCCGCUUUCGCCUGUGACGAAGCGUGAGUGACGGUAAUGGGUAAAGAAGCACCGGCUAACUACGUG